CCUACGGGUGGCAGCAGUGAGGAAUAUUGGUCAAUGGGCGCGAGCCUGAACCAGCCACGUAGCGUGAAGGAUGACUGCCCUCCGGGUUGUAAACUUCUUUUAUAAAGGAAUAAAGUGAGGCACGUGUGCAUUUUUGUAUGUACUUUAUGAAUAAGGAUCGGCUAACUCCGUGCCAGCAGCCGCGGUAAUACGGAGGAGCCGAGCGUUAUCCGGAUUUAGUGGGUUUAAAGGGAGCGUAGAUGGGUUGUUAAGUCAGUUGUGAAAGUUUGCGGCUCAACCGUAAGAUUGCAAUUGAUACUGGCAGUCUGGAGUACAGGAGAGGUAGGCGGAAUUCGUGGUGUAGCGGUGAAAUGCGUAGAUAUUACGAAGAACACCGAUGGCGAAGGCAGCUUACUAAACUGCAACUGACAUUGAGGCUCGAAAGUGUGGGUAUCAAACAGGAUUAGAUACCCCAGUAGUC
rnacentral:rRNA from 1 species